rnacentral:rRNA from 1 species
UUAGAUACCCUAGUAGUCCACGCAGUAAACGAUGAAUGCUAGUUGUCCGGGGCGAUUGAGUUCUGGGUGACACAGCGAAAGCGUUAAGCAUUCCACCUGGGGAGUACGCCGGCAACGGUGAAACUCAAAGGAAUUGACGGGGGCCCGCACAAGCGGAGGAACAUGUGGUUUAAUUCGAUGAUACGCGAGGAACCUUACCCGGGCUCAAACGCAGGAGGGAUGUUUUUGAAAGGAGGCAGCCAGCAAUGGUCUCCUGCGAGGUGCUGCAUGGUUGUCGUCAGCUCGUGCCGUGAGGUGUCGGCUUAAGUGCCAUAACGAGCGCAACCCCUACCUACAGUUGCCAUCGCGUGAUGGCGGGCACUCUGUGGGGACUGCCUGCGCAAGCAGUGAGGAAGGCGGGGAUGACGUCAAAUCAGCACGGCCCUUACGUCCGGGGCGACACACGUGUUACAAUGGCAGGUACAGCGGGAAGCCACCCGGCGACGGGGCGCGGAACCCGAAAACCUGUCUCAGUUCGGAUUGGAGUCUGCAACCCGACUCCAUGAAGCUGGAUUCGCUAGUAAUCGCGCAUCAGCCACGGGGCCGUGAAUACGUUUCCGGGCCUUGUUCACACCGCCCGUCCUGCCAUGGAAGCCGGGGGUGCCUGAAGUGCGUGACCGCCAAGACCGGCCUUAGGUAAAACCGGUGACUGGGGCUUAGUCCGUACCAAGGUAGCCCGAUUUCAGCCACUUGCCGGCCGUUCUUUGGGAUCCGACUUGGUACCAAACUUAGGAUAAU